GUUCUUUCUUUUGCCCUGAGAAGAAUUUUCAAGACUAAACCUUUCUACCUAUUGGAGAGGCUGAUUGUUAUUGAAGCAUGUGAAACAACGAAGACUAUGGGAAUCCUACUGUGUUUUUCUCCCAUGAGCCCUCCCCAUGGCCCCAGCCUUAUGAUUGGAAUAGCAACCCUAACUAGAGGAAGAAGUGGAGCAACACCUUUUGAUGACCAGAGGGAGGAAGGAAGCCUUGCUGCAAGCUGGUCAGGUAUGACAAAGACGUGCCCUUUGAGGUGCUGGAAUUGACUCUUGAGUUUCAAGAUUCUCAAAUUCAAAAUCCUCUCAAGCUCAAAAAGUCAAGUCCGCAUUUGAUUACUGAAAACCUGCAUUUCCUCUAACUAGUGUCCUGAUGCUUAGUAAUGGAACCUUGACUUGAUGUCCAGCCUUCUUGAGAACGCAAUCCUUAUGCCAAGAACUCGACUACCUACUGAGGGAAUGAGACUGGAUUCUGCUCUUAUGAGCCUCCGUUCCCCUUGAAUCCCCAUCACCAAUCCUGAGCCCCUUAGGGUGCAGGAGUCCUGCUGCCAUGGGGCAAUGUGCCUGUGCAGAGUGGUUGCCUGGCUUCCAGAAUUAUUGUUUCACCUCUUCCCUCGCUGUAUUCUGCCUGCUGGAUCUCCUCUCUCUACAGCUGAGAUCACAUCAUACUCUGCCCAAGCAUCAAUGGCUUUAGCAAUGAACAUCUGGCAGAAAAAGAGACCGACUGUUCUAAAGCAGGCACUCGAGGCUAUCAAGUCCAGAGUUCACCCUGACCUGCACUUGAACAAAUUUCUUAGAGGCAGGCAACGAAUCUAUCUCCACACUGAAAACUCUCAUAGGACGGAUAGUGAAUUCAUCUCUCUAUUACCAUCAAAAGCAUUGUCACCUGUCUGUGUAGCAGUGCUUUGCUGGCUAAAGCACAUGAAACAUAAUUGAAUCUUGACAACACGACUGUAAUCAAAGGAUACCCACAAGUGUACCUAAUCACUGCUGUUGAGCUUCCAGAAGACCCCAUUCAAGAGACACUGAUGGAAAAGGACACUGGGUUCCACUGCAUUUCUAUCAACAUUAAGCAAGUGCAAAUUAGAUGUCUUCUGUGUCAUUCUCUUGAGCUGCUUGGUUCCAAUUGUGUUAAAAGUGAUCAUUGAUCACCUGGAGAACCAUGGUAGAUUGAUAAAUUAGUUUCAGCUUGAUGUUAUUUUGUAUAUAAACAGACUAAUUUGUAAAAAACCUUAGGCAUCAUAGACUGUGUGUAAUGUAGUAGACUAGCUCAAUUACUUUUAAAUGACCAGUGAGAAACCCAAACCAAUAUGAAACAUAGUGGGAAAAUAAGAACUACAAUGACAGCAAUUAUGAAGUUAUCCCAAGCCUAUUUAACAAAUAAGACUAGAUUAAGGGAAGAUGGUGA
ensembl:lncRNA